GAUUAUGGCUCAGGAUGAACGCUAGCUACAGGCCUAACACAUGCAAGUCGAGGGGCAGCAGAUCGAAGCUUGCUUUGAUGCUGGCGACCGGCGAAUGGGUGAGUCACGCGUGUCCAACCUGCCCUGUGCCCGGGGAUAGCCCUUGGAAAUGAGGAUUAACACCCGAUAGGUGGCGCUUCCGCAUGGCGGCGCCAUGAAACCGACACAGGAUGGGGACGCGUCGGAUUAGCUUGACGGCGGGGCGACGGCCCACCGUGGCGACGAUCCGCAGGGGUUCUGAGAGGAAGGUCCCCCACACUGGCACUGAGACACGGGCCAGACUCCUACGGGAGGCAGCAGUGAGGAAUAUUGGUCAAUGGCCGAGAGGCUGAACCAGCCAAAGUAGCGUGCAGGACGACGGCCCUACGGGUUGUAAACUGCUUUUGCGGGAGGAUAAAGGACGCCACGUGUGGCGUUUUGCAGGUAUCCCGUGAAUAAGGACCGGCUAAUUCCGUGCCAGCCGCCGC
rnacentral:rRNA from 1 species